CCACUCUGAUAAACUCAGAAGAAGCAGGCCAUGAUGAAAGAAGUCUUGUUUAGAGAGGAGAGUUUCCAUGAGCCAGCUAGACGGCAGUAUUUAUUUGAGGUUAUGGAGCUGAGCACACAUGCACACGCAUAAUCAGUCACAGCUCAUUUCAGCUCCCUUUAUCAGUCUGCACACAUUUUAUAACUGAUGUUGAAGCGCAGACAGAUUUGUUCCAGCUUUCCACACAGAGAAAAAGCUCUCUUGACACAACAGAAUUUGUGAGACUUUUUAAUACUGUACCCCUACAGAAGUUUCCAAAACACUCUGAGGCAGAGAAAAGAGACGCACAGUGAUCAGAGAGUUUGUGUUAAGUCAGCUUUCAUUUAUUGGCUCUCAUAAAACUUUGUUUUCAUCUUUUCUGAGUCUAGGGUUGAUCUGAGAUAUCCCACAAUGCAUUCACAGAGAGACAGGAAGAUCAAAGAGAAGAAUGAAAGUUUGGCUUAUUCACUGACUCUCUCGUGUGCUACAUUGAGACAAACAACCAUCAGAGCAGUUCGGGAUUCUGCUUUGGUGAAAUACAAUCCAUUACAACACUGCAGGGAAUGGAUGGUUUGCUGGAAGAUUUACUUUAAGAUGACAACAGACCUAGAGAGUCUCAAGUGAGAAAUUUUCAGGUGACAAAUUUUCAGUUUAAAGAUCCUCUGCUUUGGUUCUUUGUGUACUGUAUACCCAGGUCACAAAUUAGCUCUGUAUAUUAGGUUUGUGAUCAAAAAUAUAGAGUCCCGAUUUUUGUUUUCAGUGUCUUGGAAGAACAAAUGCAAACACAAAUACGUCAGUGGAAAUAGAAGCGACCUUUCAGUGUGUUUUGUCCUAGUCCCUCCCUUUGUAUCUUUUGGUUCACUUGGGCAGAAUUGUACAACAAACAGUAACCUUUUCAGCCCAUUCAUUCACUGUGUACUUGCCCACGAAGUAGUGUUUUUUUUUUUUUUUUUUUUUUACCACACAUUACCAGCACACAAAGAUCACUGACAGGAAGAACGGAAAGCAUGCAUCUUUGCAGUUUUGUUGAGCUAGUUUUUUAAAAGAUGAACCAUAGCGACAAAACAACAAACUACACUGCAGCCGUGAGGUUGAAGUCAUUUCCCUGUGGGGGUGUUGGGUCCCUGGAGGAGAGCAGCUCUAAUGAGACCCGAUCUGUGGCUUGUUGCUGCUUGGCUCAUCAGACGCAUUCAUCACUCUGACUGAUAUCAGACUCCAUGACAGCUGACAUUUUGUGACUGUUUGAAUCCCCCAUGAAUGGCAGCAUGUGAAAACAUCCGCUCUGCUUUUGCUGCCGCUAAAUGUCUUUGGUCGCCAUGGAGAUGUGGACCACAGUAUACUUUACAAAGCAGCUGCCUGCAGUGUCUCAGCAUUG